GCAAUAUUCUUGGACUAGGAACAGUUCUAAAGUGGGAAUUAAGUCAAGAGAAGAGCUCGGAGAAAACUGGCCAUUCCAUGCUGUCACCGUCCCUUCCUCAAGCAACAAACGAUGAUGUUUAACAGGAAGAUAGCAAAAGCCAUGGUUGGAGAGAGCUCUACCUGCCAUGUCAAGCGAGACUAUGCCAGGCUGGGGAAGACGCUUAAGGAAAUCGAGGCUCAGGUGAUCUUCAGUGGGAUUCUGCCUGUUCCUAGAGAAGGGCAACA